rnacentral:rRNA from 1 species
UACGGGGGGGGCAAGCGUUGUUCGGAAUUACUGGGCGUAAAGGGUUCGUAGGUGGCUUGCUAAGUCAGACGUGAAAUCCCUCAGCUUAACUGGGGAACUGCGUCUGAUACUGGCGAGCUUGAGUGCAGGAGAGGAACGCGGAAUUCCAGGUGUAGCGGUGAAAUGCGUAGAUAUCUGGAGGAACACCGGUGGCGAAGGCGGCGUUCUGGACUGCGACUGACACUGAUGAACGAAAGCCAGGGGAGCAAACGGG